AUUAUUUCAUGCUACUUUUAAUGAUAUAAAUCAACUAUUUCAAAAAUCUAAUUAAUAAUAAAUUCUAUACAAAAUUUAAGAUUUUUUUUCAUAAUAUAAUAUUUGAUAGACCUACUUAAUUAUAUUAUAUUUUUUAUUUUUUAUUAUUUUUGUAUGGUAUUUAUUUAUUUUUUUUUAUCAAACUAGUGUUUUACUUUUUUUAAGAAAAUUGUUAUUUUAUGUUUUCAAGAUUAUUUUUGUAGAAAAUCUUUUUCAAAAAUGUUCGAACUUCUUUUUUUUCACUUUAUGCUUAUCUGAUUAAAAAAUAAAGUUGUAGGAUUGAUCUCGCGGUGAGCUCU
rnacentral:lncRNA from 1 species